UACGUAGGGGGCUAGCGUUGUCCGGAAUCAUUGGGCGUAAAGAGCGUGUAGGCGGCCCGGUAAGUCCGCUGUAAAAGUCAAAGGCUCAACCUUUGAAUGUCAGUGGAUACUGCCGGGCUAGAGUCCGGAAGAGGCGAGUGGAACUCCUGGUGUAGCGGUGGAAUGCGCAGAUAUCAGGAAGAACACCAAUAGCGAAGGCAGCUCGCUGGGACGUUACUGACACUGAGGCGCGAAAGCGUGGGGAGCGAACAGG
rnacentral:rRNA from 1 species